AUGAUUACAACGUAUGAUAGUAGUAGAAAGCGAUUUAUUAUUCGGCCAAAUACUGACGGCAUCAGUGUGCUUAAUGAAGAUGUUUAUGACAUAUUCGGGAUACGGAACGAGGGUGAUGAUGUCAGUAGCAUGAUAGCAACAGUACAACUAGAUGCCAAAAAAUUGUUCCGAUCAUAUGAUGAUGAUUUUGUGAGAUGGGUCGUACUGGUUCUUAUGGGUACAGUCUUAGCACCACAAUCCACCAAGUUUGUUCCUUAUCGUUAUUACAAAAUGGUGGAGGACGUGAACGCUAUCAAGUCAUACAAUUGGAACGAUUUCGCGUUGGGGGUGUGCAUGGAUGCUAUUAAAAAAUCGGUCGAAGAUCUUGAAAAAUUCAAGUGGCCUAUCGGGAACUUCGCUCUUCUUCAGAAACGGAAGGGAAAAAGCGAGACGACUAUGACAACAUGCACGGGCGUGGCACCGGCAAUAUUGAAAACUGCGUUAGCGAGAGUACAGACGUGCUAA
rnacentral:rRNA from 1 species